UACGUAGGGUGCAAGCGUUAAUCGGAAUUACUGGGCGUAAAGCGUGCGCAGGUGGUUGUGCAAGACAGAUGUGAAAUCCCCGGGCUCAACCUGGGAAUUGCAUUGUGACUGCACGGCUAGAGUGUGUCAGAGGGGGUAGAAUUCCACGUGUAGCAGUGAAAUGCGUAGAGAUGUGGAGGAAUACCGAUGCGAAGGCAGCCCCCUGGGAUAACACUGACGCUCAUGCACGAAAGCGUGGGGAGCAAACAGG
rnacentral:rRNA from 1 species